rnacentral:ncRNA from 1 species
GACCCGAAAAGCCAAACUCCGAGAAAUCGGGGGACGGAAAACCAACGAGCUAAAGAUGGUUUCUAAAAAAAUGUCUAUGCUGACCGGGUUGCCGAU